GGGUGUUGAGUAGUUCCUUAGAAGAUGCAUCAGGAUCUUGCCUCAAUGACCUGGUUACUCCAUGGUCAAGAUAUCCUCCUGACUACUGCAAGCCACAGUCCAGAGGAAUUCACUUCUGACCACUCAACUUUGUUCACCCUGCUGAGGAAUCAGAUGAAGAAUGACUGCUUCACACUGACAAGUCACCUUUAUCUGGAAAGUCAAAGGUCCUCCUUCCUAUUUCUCUCCUGCUCCUCUUCUUUGCCUUACACUCUUGCCCCAUGUCCACAUCAAGUAAUAUUCCUGAAUGAUUCACGAGCAACACCAUCCAUGUACUACCAGUUACUCUUGUGUUCUCCCAGGUCCCUCGGUGGACUUGGUAGAGUUUGA
rnacentral:lncRNA from 1 species